rnacentral:tRNA from 1 species
UAUUAGAUAGCUCGGACUGGUAAAAGCAUCCUGACAUGUAAUCGGGGAGAUCCAGGUUCGAUUCCUGGCUUGGUUAA